GACUAAAUCCAUGCCUGAAAUACACAUGAGCCCUGGCCUGAUCUUGGAAGCAGUCUUCCUUGUUCCAUACUCUCCUUCUUCUUGCUUAAGUUGCAUUUGUUAUUUCCACUGUCUUUGCACUGGAAGUGCAGAUCCUCUCAUCAAGAAGAAACUACAGGAAAGCAUUCGGUCACUGUGAGUGACAUAGUGCUUCACCUGGGGAAGCCACAGCUCUGAGCAGUGCAGAACUACUGGGGAACCAGCGAGGGACAGCAGCAGGAGCCUGGGUGGACAGAGAGAUCCCACCAGGGGCUGAGUGAGGCCCAUUUGCAUUCAGGAUGGUUGUGGUGCUGGUCCACUGGAGCUGCGCAGCCACAUGUGCUGCUUUCCAUCAGGCAGGAGGUGAGCAGAGACACUGGCCCAUCUCACAAUCCCAGCCCAAGUGACGGGCAUGGGUCUGCCAUAGCUCCUGCUCCUGCUCUGAAAUGUGUGAUUGUGUUGACCUCUAGUGGCUGCAAGGAAGAGAGGGCCAGACCUCCAGAUUUUGUGAUCCUCCAUGACAUGCUUUGGCCAUUUCACAUUCAAGAUGCACAGUCUUCUGCCUCCAGGAGCAUCUCCAGCAAGGAUCUCAAGAGACUGCCUUCGCAAGGGGGAAUGGGAGCAGAAUGUCCCUGAGCUAAGCUCUCAUGGACCAUUCUGUUAGAAACAGAGAUUUGUAGAUAUGGGUCUUGCAUCCUAUGGGUGUGUUCUUCUCUUCCAGCCAAGGCAUUGAAAUUUUGAUUGGGCUAGGAAAGAAUUCUGGCCAUUUCGAAUGACUCUGUGAAUCAACUGUCUGUGGAGCAUUUUCCCUUUUCAGUGAGAAGUACCAUUUAUUGGGUUUGAUGAUGGUUCAGGUAAACUAAAAGGAUUGUUUGUGAUUCUGUGUGGAAGCAGCAGUUCUGCACAGAGAUGGCCCCAAGGCAGCCCUUGAUGUUGGGUUUCUGGGCUGGAGGUCAGCCCUGCCCUGUGCCUUCCAGUAGAUUUUCAGCCUCACUAGGGUCUGAGAAGACUGUCAGAAGUAGGCAGUGUUUAUCCCAACUGAAGCUCAAAAUUUAGCUGUAAUUGAAGCCAGUACUGAAAGCCUCUGUUUGGAAACUGUAAAAAAUGAGCUAUCUUGCAUCUGUAACCAAAAGUGGGCAUAAAUAAUUGAUAAUAGAUAAAAUUUGCUAAAAUACAUCAAGGAUGCCAUCUGUCUUCUUGCCAGUUUUUAUACUGAAUAAUCAAAAAGUUUUAGUGGAGAUGGAUGACAGCAUUUAACACCAGCCGUUUUGUGCACACUGUUAUUAUAAGUUGCCUGUAAUUUGAAAAUUGUGCUGCGGGCUAAAGGAGAUUGCAAUAAGAAAAAAAAUACCAGGAAAACCACCAAUACAGCUCUCUGAAAGCAAAUGGAAUACUGUGUCUAGCGCAUGUCACAACAGUACUGUGGAAGCUUCCCAACUUGCCCUCCAGCUGAGACCCUGCUUGUUUGGGUCCUGGCAGGGACUUGCAGGCUGCUGUUUCCUGGUGUGUGUACCAGCUGGGUCCGAGCUUUUCUUGUAGGGAAAUUGCAGUGCAGGAGCCAUUGCUUGUCUGACAGGAAGAUAGCUCUUCACUGGCCACAAGGUGCUUGAAGCUAUGAAAUAGCUGAACUAGGGCCUGUUUUUUCAGAUAUGUCACCUGGCUUAAAUAAAAGAUUACCUCUUCUCA